rnacentral:pre_miRNA from 1 species
UGGGGCAUGAACCUGGCAUACAAUGUAGAUUUCUGUGUUUGUUGAACAACAGCUACAUUGUCUGCUGGGUUUCAGGCUACCUGG